rnacentral:rRNA from 1 species
UACGUAGGGUGCAAGCGUUGUCCGGAAUUAUUGGGCGUAAAGAGCUCGUAGGCGGCUCAGUAAGUCGGGUGUGAAAACUCCAGGCUCAACCUGGAGACGCCACCUGAUACUGCUGUGGCUAGAGUCCGGUAGGGGAGCAUGGAAUUCCUGGUGUAGCGGUGAAAUGCGCAGAUAUCAGGAGGAACACCAGUGGCGAAGGCGGUGCUCUGGGCCGGAACUGACGCUGAGGAGCGAAAGCGUGGGGAGCAAACAGG